GCUCACCAAUAUGUUUCGGUACGAAGCGGUUGAAGUGGAAAACGGCCUUGAACUCGGCCUAUAUUUAUUAAUAAGUUUACAAAUGUUUCUGUGUUUUCGUUCACAUGCAGUACACAUGCCCAGCAUAUACAGUAGCUAUAACUCCUUGCGGUUGGUUCUCUAAGUGGUAUAAAAAGUGCCAUUUUGGCAUUCUCUGACGGACUGGAAACCUGUAAAAAGUUCAAACGAAUGUGUCCGGUAUUAGAAAGAUAACCUUCGUUGUGGCCAAUCAGAUGCUUCGUGGAUAUGGUUCUUGCUGUGGCCCCUCGUUGCCCUCUAUUGACCACGUGUAAGAAGGGCUUUCGGUGCGAGAAACGUUCGACUUCCAUUUCAAGUACAUAAUUUUGUGUAAUAUGAACAUUUUCGUUUUUUCGACUCACAACUUCUUAUUAUGUUGCAGAUGUUCACACCAUCAUUGUAUCUGACUUUAUUAUUCAUUAAUUACCAUUUUAGAAAAUCGGCGAAUUCAUUAGGGACCUUAAGCAUGCACGACGGUAACGCAACGACGACAGCCAAAACAAAAUUCUUCAAAUAAAUUAUUGCGAAGAAGUGUUGUUAUGUUUUGUCCACUGCAUGUAUAUAUGAAUUGAGUUGAGUUUGAAGAGAUUAAAACAAAG